CCUACGGGGGGCAGCAGUGAGGAAUAUUGGUCAAUGGACGAGAGUCUGAACCAGCCAAGUAGCGUGAAGGAUGACUGCCCUAUGGGUUGUAAACUUCUUUUAUAUGGGAAUAAAAUGUUCCACGUGUGGGAUUUUGUAUGUACCUUAUGAAUAAGGAUCGGCUAACUCCGUGCCAGCAGCCGCGGUAAUACGGAGGAUCCGAGCGUUAUCCGGAUUUAUUGGGUUUAAAGGGAGCGUAGAUGGAUUGUUAAGUCAGUUGUGAAAGUUUGCGGCUCAACCGUAAAAUUGCAGUUGAAACUGGCAGUCUUGAGUACAGUAGAGGUGGGCGGAAUUCGUGGUGUAGCGGUGAAAUGCUUAGAUAUCACGAAGAACUCCGAUUGCGAAGGCAGUUCACUGGACUGCAACUGACACUGAGGCUCGAAAGUGUGGGUAUCAAACAGGAUUAGAUACCCGUGUAGUC
rnacentral:rRNA from 1 species